rnacentral:rRNA from 1 species
GACGAACGCUGGCGGCGUGCUUAACACAUGCAAGUCGAACGGAAAGGCGCGGCUUUUGCGGCGCUCUCGAUUGGCGAAGGCGUGAGAGACACGUGAGUAUCACCCCCCUAACUGUCUGAGAACUUCAGGGAACAGCGGCGAUAACCGGGGAGGAUCUCCUGCUGCGCGUGGGUGAUUGGAAAAAGUCGGCGGUGCGGGCUGGAAUCGCGGGUUAUCAGCUUGUUUGUGUGGUAGUGACUGUCCACGCCUUUGAAGGGUAGCCGGCCUGAGAGGGUGACCAGGCACCUUGGGCCUGCGAUACGCCGCAGUCUGCUACGGGCGGCAGCGGUGGGGAAUCUUGCACAAUGGGCGGAAGUCUGAUGCAGCGACGCCGCGUGCGGGAUGACGGCCUUCGGGUUGUAAACAGCUUUCGACUGUGACGAAGCGUGCGUGACGGUAAUGGGUCAAGAAGCACCGGCUAACUACGUG